UCUUCCCAUCGACGUCAGUAUUUCGUCGUCAUUGUAUCGUAAUGAUACUGUCGUCACUCAAUAUAGUGAGCAUGGCUCUCUUGUCAUGCCGUUAUCGGCAGUCGCUGUCAUGCCUCCAGUGAUGCCGUCGUGGUCGUUCAAUCGUCGUCAUUCCA
rnacentral:lncRNA from 1 species